rnacentral:rRNA from 1 species
UACGGAGGGUGCAAGCGUUAUCCGGAUUCACUGGGUUUAAAGGGUGCGUAGGUGGGAAUGUAAGUCAGUGGUGAAAUCUCCGUGCUUAACAUGGAAACUGCCAUUGAUACUAUGUUUUCUUGAAUUUUCUGGAGGUCAGCGGAAUAUGUCAUGUAGCGGUGAAAUGCUUAGAUAUGACACAGAACACCGAUUGCGAAGGCAGCUCACAAAACUAUAACUGACGCUGAGGCACGAAAGCGUGGGGAUCAAACAGG